UAGACUAGCCUCCCAAUUAGCCUCCUUGCUUCCACCAACUUCCAGCCACACUUACCUCCCUUAUGGCCUUGGCAUGUGCUUACCUAAUGCCCACUCUAGGUCCUUUGCUCCCUCUCUCUGGAAUGAUUUUCUGCAGGUAUUCCCAAGGCUGGCUCCUUUAGCUUUCAGCUCAAACUUCACCUUCCAAGAGAAGCUUUUCCUAAAUUUCCAAUAUAAGGCCUAGGAACCAGGAGUGCUUGCUGUGGAGGAGACACUCGGCAAGUAUUUAUUAAAAGAAUCCAAGGAAGCAUCUAAAUUCCCGAAGAUUAUGUGCAAAGCCCCUCUGCAUUUGACCCGGCUCAUCCUCUUUCCGCUUAGAGGCCUUACUGACUCAGCCUAGGGGAGCAGAUAGUGCCUCCUGGAUGCAGCACUUUGAUGAUGAUGACGACGACGACAAUGAUGAUGAUGAUGAUGUUAAAAUCACAAUGCCAGCAACUGAC